rnacentral:misc_RNA from 1 species
AAAUGCGAUAAGUAGUGUGAAUUGCAGAAUUCAGUGAAUCAUCGAAUCUUUGAACGCACAUUGCGCCCCUUGGUAUUCCAUGGGGCAUGCCUGUUCGAGCGUCAUUUGUACCCUCAAGCUUUGCUUGGUGUUGGGCGUCUUGUCGGAAUAUCCGACUCGCCUUAAAUACAUUGGCAGCCGGCACUUUGGCCUAGGAGCGCAGCACAUUUUGCGAUCGUAAGCCGUUGUGACAGCAUCCAUAAGAUUUAUUUUACCACGUUUGACCUCGGAUCAGGUAGGGAUACCCGCUGAACUUAAGC